UACGUAGGGUGCAAGCGUUGUCCGGAAUUAUUGGGCGUAAAGAGCUCGUAGGCGGCUUGUUACGUCGACUGUGAAAACCCGCGGCUCAACCGUGUGGUCUGCAGUCGAUACGGGCAGGCUAGAGUUCGGUAGGGGGAGACUGGAAUUCCUGGUGUAGCGGUGAAAUGCGCAGAUAUCAGGAGGAACACCGGUGGCGAAGGCGGGUCUCUGGGCCGAUACUGACGCUGAGGAGCGAAAGCAUGGGGAGCGAACAGG
rnacentral:rRNA from 1 species